rnacentral:lncRNA from 1 species
CUGGGCAGAAGGGAUCUGGCAGCAUCUCUUCCUGAGGGUGUGAGGAAUGAGUCCUGUGGAGGGCAGCACAUGAGCCCUCUACCUCCAUGUGGGCCCCAGUCCCCUCCUGCUGUCAGGCUAGGUGUGCGGCGCGCUCCUGGCGAGGACGGAGCGAGCAGAUCUCGCGUGCGCUCGCCGCCCGGCGCAGCCCAGCCCGGCCCCCGCCUGGCGCCGCGAGCCGAGGUGUCUCCCGCGCCCGCGCCCGUGUCGCCGCCGUGCCCGCGAGCGGGAGCCGGAGUCGCCGCCGCCCGAGCGCAGCCGAGCGCACGCCGAGCCCGUCCGCCGCCGCCAUGGCCACCACGGUGACCUGCACCCGCUUCACCGACGAGUACCAGCUCUACGAGGAUAUUGGCAAGGGGGCUUUCUCUGUGGUCCGACGCUGUGUCAAGCUCUGCACCGGCCAUGAGUAUGCAGCCAAGAUCAUCAACACCAAGAAGCUGUCAGCCAGAGAUCACCAGAAGCUGGAGAGAGAGGCUCGGAUCUGCCGCCUUCUGAAGCAUUCCAACAUCGUGCGUCUCCACGACAGCAUCUCCGAGGAGGGCUUCCACUACCUGGUC